rnacentral:lncRNA from 1 species
AGUUCUCCAUGAGAGGAAGGAGGGGAACAAGAGGCAAGAGGGCUGGCCUGAAGACGUGUACUCGCCUCCCGGUCAGGCAUUGCAGAAGGGAGAGGGUGCCCAGAGCACUGAGGACAAGACAAAGGAGGCAGGAGAAGAUAAGGCUGCCGAACAAGGCCCUUCUCUCAGCAAAGCAGAACUGCGUAAAGAUGCAAAGGUCUGACCACCACCAAACCUGGGGGAUGAAGCUGGGAAUUAUCUCCUCCAAUAGCAAAGAGCUUCCUAACGCGUGACGCACUGCAGGUCUGCCCCAGCGGGGCCGUUUCCAGCACUUCAUGAACAAGAAGGUGGAGAAGAGACUAGCCGGCUGGAAGGAGCGCCGCAGUCUCUAUGGAGACAUUGACAUGCGCAACUCACAGAGCAGAAGAAAGUCAAGAACUGAGAACAAUAAUUUCAUCUGCCACAAGAGACUAAAUCAAGCCUACGUGAAGGUAGUUGCUGCCUAUCUACCCAUUCCCUGCCCAACGUUCCUUGUGCGUGUGCGUGUGUGUAGCCCAGAACUCAGCUUUCUUGAGAACCCAAGAAUGGAAAUCCCAACUCUUCCCUCAAGGAGCUUCUCAUCUGCGAGGGAAACUGAGCCACAAGCCAAAAUCAUGCUACAAACACAAAUACAAUUAAAUGUGAAUGAGAGAAACAGUUCCAUGAGUUGA